GACGAACGCUGGCGGCGUGCUUAACACAUGCCAGUCGAACGGAAAGGCCCUGCUUUUGUGGGGUGCUCGAGUGGCGAACGGGUGAGUAACACGUGAGUAACCUGCCCUUGACUUUGGGAUAACUCCAGGAAACUGGGGCUAAUACCGGAUAGGAGCUCCUGCUGCAUGGUGGGGGUUGGAAAGUUUCGGCGGUGGGGGAUGGACUCGCGGCUUAUCAGCUUGUUUGUGGGGUAGUUGCUUACCAGGGCUUUGACGGGUAGCCGGCCUGAGAGGGUGACCGGCCACAUUGGGACUGAGAUACGGCCCAGACUCCUACGGGCGGCAGCAGUGGGGAAUAUUGCACAAUGGGCGGAAGCCUGAUGCAGCAACGCCGCGUGCGGGAUGACGGCCUUCGGGUUGUAAACCGCUUUCGCCUGUGACGAAGCGUGAGUGACGGUAAUGGGUAAAGAAGCACCGGCUAACUACGUG
rnacentral:rRNA from 1 species